rnacentral:rRNA from 1 species
UACGUAGGGUGCAAGCGUUAAUCGGAAUUACUGGGCGUAAAGCGUGCGCAGGCGGUUUUGUAAGUUUGUCGUGAAAGCCCCGGGCUCAACCUGGGAAUGGCGAUGAAGACUGCAAGGCUUGAAUCUGGCAGAGGGGGGUAGAAUUCCACGUGUAGCAGUGAAAUGCGUAGAGAUGUGGAGGAACACCGAUGGCGAAGGCAGCCCCCUGGGUCAAUAUUGACGCUCAUGCACGAAAGCGUGGGGAGCAAACAGG